rnacentral:rRNA from 1 species
CAGCCGCCACGGUAAUACGAAGGGUGCAAGCGUCAAUCGGAAUUACUGGGCGUAAAGCGUGCGUAGGCGGUGAGUUAAGUCUGCUGUGAAAUCCCCGGGCUCAACCUGGGAAUGGCAGUGGAUACUGGCUCGCUAGAGUGUGUCAGAGGAUGGUGGAAUUCCCGGUGUAGCGGUGAAAUGCGUAGAGAUCGGGAGGAACAUCAGUGGCGAAGGCGGCCAUCUGGGACAACACUGACGCUGAGGCACGAAAGCGUGGGGAGCAAACAGGAUUAGAUACCCCCGUAGUCCCUGUCUCUUAUAC